UGCAAGUCGCACGAGAAAGGCUUCGGCCGAGUAAAGUGGCGCACGGGUGAGUAACGCGUAGGCAACCCACCCUGGAGUUCGGGAUAACAGUGCGAAAGCGCUGCUAAUACCGGAUACGACAAUUGAUCGGAGGAUUGAUUGUGAAAGGGGGCCUCUCUAUAGAAGCUCUCACUCUGGGACGGGCCUGCGUCCUAUCAGCUAGUUGGUGGGGUAACGGCCUACCAAGGCGACGACGGGUAGCUGGUCUGAGAGGAUGAUCAGCCACACUGGCACUGGAACACGGGCCAGACUCCUACGGGAGGCAGCAGUGAGGAAUUUUGCGCAAUGGCCGCAAGGCUGACGCAGCAACGCCGCGUGGGUGAUGAAGGCCUUCGGGUCGUAAAGCCCUGUCAGGUGGGAAGAACUCCCAUAUGGUGAAUAAUCAUGUGGGUUGACGGUACCACCGGAGGAAGCACCGGCUAACUCCGUGCCAGCAGCCGCGGUAA
rnacentral:rRNA from 1 species